CAUUUCCAAUGUAUUUACUAUUUUAACUUCUAAAAUAGAGAAACUCUAUAAUAAAAGUGAUAUAUGCUCCAAUAUUUUUUUUUAUAAUAGUAAUCUUUAAAUAUAGAGUAAAAAAUAGAAAAAUGUUAUUUCUUUCUCUAUAAGUAAAGAGAAAUAUCUCUAUUAUAAAAGAAGAAAUAGAUGUGAGUUGUAGCAAUUUCACCUUUAAAUAUUAUUAUAAAGGUGAAAAUAACAAUGAAUUGGAGAUUCUCUUAGACGAUGUUAGAGCAACUAGUAAUAUCUAAAAAUAAUAUCAAACAUCAAAAAAAUUUAAGCCCUUCCUCAAAAAAAACAUCAAAAAAAUUUUAAACUGAAAAGAGAAAGAAGAAAGAGUAAUUAAAAGAUAUAGUUUAAGAACUUAACAAUUUUUUAGGAGAUACUCUCAUAACACAUGACACUUCAUAAUUAGUUCAUUUUAAUUUAAGUUUAAACUAUUAAUUAAAGUAUAUUAAAUACUACCAUUUUAUCUAUCCAAUCUUAUGUGAGUUUCUCAAACGAUGUACGUACCCUUAUA
rnacentral:lncRNA from 1 species